UACGAAGGGGGCUAGCGUUGCUCGGAAUCAUUGGGCGUAAAGGGUGCGUAGGCGGAUUUGUAAGUCAGGGGUGAAAUCCCGGGGCCCAACCUCGGAACUGCCUUUGAUACUGCAAAUCUCGAGUCCGGAAGAGGUGAGUGGAAUUCCUAGUGUAGAGGUGAAAUUCGUAGAUAUUAGGAAGAACACCAGUGGCGAAGGCGGCUCACUGGUCCGGUACUGACGCUGAGGUGCGAAAGCGUGGGGAGCAAACAGG
rnacentral:rRNA from 1 species